rnacentral:rRNA from 1 species
UUAUUCUUCUUAAUUUAAAUUAUAAUUUAAAUUUAAUUUUAUUAAUUAGCCAACUUUAUUACUGUAAAGAUUUUGUAAUUUAGUUUAAAUAAAAUUAUUAGUACCUUUUGUAUCAGGGUUUAUUAAUUAAUUAAAUAUUUUUAUUUCUCGAAAUUUAAACAUCUAUUAUUAAUUAUUUUUUUUUUGUUGUAUAAAAAUUAUUAAGUUAAGAAUAGUAACUAAAAGUUAAUCGUUUUUUAUAUAUAUCUAGUUAUUUUAGACAAAAUUUAAUUUUAAUUUAUAAAUAAAUUUAUUUUAUAAGGGAUAAUCUUUAUAUUUUUUUAUAAUUUUAAUAGAUUAAUUUUUAUUAUUAUUUAUAUUUUAAUUAUAGUUUUUAAUAAAUUGAAAUUUUUAUUUUAAUAUUUAUUUUUAUUUAAGUACUUAUAAAAUAUUUAAAAUUAAUUUUAUUUUUAAUUUAUAAUGAUAAAAUUAUUAGUUAUUAAUUAUAUAUUAAAUGAAUUAGACAAAAAUUAAUUCCCAACUGUUUAACAAAAACAUUUCUUUUAGAUUUAUUUUAAAAGUAAAUUCUGCCCAAUGAUUGAUUAAAUGGCCGCAGUAUUCUAACUGUGCAAAGGUAGCAUAAUAAUUAGUCCCUUAAUUGGGGACUUGUAUGAAUGAUUUCAUGAGGUAUUUAUUAUAUAUAAAUUAGUAAAUUAACUUUAUUUUUUUGUUAAAAAGCUGAAUUGUUUUAGUGGGACGAUAAGACCCUAUAGAACUUAAAUUUAAAUUAGUACAAUUAUUAAUUUUUUAGUAUUAUAUUAAUUUAUUUUUUUUCUGGGGAAGAAUAUAAAUUUUUAAUUUUAUUUUUUUAAUUCAUAUAUUUAUGUUAAUAAGGAUUUAUUUUAUAAUUUUAAGUUAAAGUUACCUUAGGGAUAACAGCGUAAUUUUUAUGGAGAGUUCAUAUCUAUAUAAAAGUUUGCGACCUCGAUGUUGAAUUAAGAUAAAAUUAGGGGGUAGAUUUUCUAAUUAUAAGUCUGUUCGACUUUUUAUUCUUACAUGAUUUGAGUUCAAACCGGUGUGAGCCAGGUUGGUUUCUAUCUUCUUGUUAAUUAAAUAAUUUAGUACGAAAGGACCAAUUAUUUUAUAUUAUAUAAUAUUAACUUGGCAGAA